UUUUCAAUAGAAGACUUUUAUAUAGCUGCGCUUAUCAGUGGCACCAAAGCACAUUUUGUUUGAGUGUAAACAGAGAUUAUGGAGGAUAAAGGUCACAUACAAAUGUACUAUGUAUGAAUACUAUACAAAAGAGGUAAUAUAUAUCUGCAUAAUAUUUUAUUGCUCAAAAUUUUAACAAUAAAAAAAAAUCUUCGUUUGCAUUAGUAAUUUUUUAUUUCACCUAUACGAAAUAUGGCAAAAUUAUCGACGUAAAGUAUGUUCUGCACCAAAUUGUCAAAAUGGUACAAGUAAGCAACGUAAUUCUGAAACAAAAUAAAUAAAGUUCCGAGUAACAUACUAUUUUCAUUUCCUAAGAAGGGUACUAGUAAACACGUUCUGAAAUGGUGAUUUAUCGGACGUGAAGCCCAGAUGAAGAAGUACUGUGUGAAAUUCAUUUUGAGGAGGAGGAUAUUCAACGAAAUUAUACUGGUAACACUCAACUAUAAAUAAUGAGACUAUGUCAUCAUGGCUCGGUUAAACAUUUUUAGGCCAAUUUUUAUUGGAACCUGCAGUUCCCUAAAAAUAAUGUAGUUAAAGCAACUGAUAUUGAGGAUGGCAUCGUAGUAUCGAGCAGCUGAAUUCAAUCCAAACAUAGUUGAGUGAAACCAAAGAUAAAAUAAACAAUGAUACUCAGACCAAUUUUAUCUAAAACCGUAUGCAUAAUUUCCAAGAAAUGUAAUUAAGAAUAACUAAUAUUGAGGAGGUAUAUAAGUGGAAAAUAAAAGAAUUAAUGUGAUGAUACAACAGUUAAUGAAAACGAAAGUACCUGAGUGUAAAUGAAAGGACUUAAGUAUUAUUGAUACAAACAAAACCACAGUCGAAGAACUUCCGUCAACACUUAACAAAAUCUCUAGAACUAUUGGAAAAACUCCUAAACAAAUAUUUAUGAUGCUACGAUCUACGAGGCAUCAAA